rnacentral:rRNA from 1 species
CCUACGGGAGGCAGCAGUGGGGAAUCUUGGACAAUGGGGGCAACCCUGAUCCAGCCAUGCCGCGUGAGUGAUGAAGGCCCUAGGGUCGUAAAGCUCUUUCGCCUGUGAAGAUAAUGACGGUAGCAGGUAAAGAAACCCCGGCUAACUCCGUGCCAGCAGCCGCGGUAAUACGGAGGGGGUUAGCGUUGUUCGGAAUUACUGGGCGUAAAGCGCACGUAGGCGGACUGGAAAGUUAGGGGUGAAAUCCCGGGGCUCAACCCCGGAACUGCCUUUAAAACUCCCAGUCUAGAGUUCGAGAGAGGUGAGUGGAAUUCCGAGUGUAGAGGUGAAAUUCGUAGAUAUUCGGAGGAACACCAGUGGCGAAGGCGGCUCACUGGCUCGAUACUGACGCUGAGGUGCGAAAGUGUGGGGAGCAAACAGGAUUAGAUACCCUGGUAGUCCACACCGUAAACGAUGAAUGCCAGUCGUCGGGUAGCAUGCUAUUCGGUGACACACCUAACGGAUUAAGCAUUCCGCCUGGGGAGUACGGUCGCAAGAUUAAAACUCAAAGGAAUUGACGG